rnacentral:lncRNA from 1 species
UGAAAUGUUUAAUUUCAGUUACUGUGAAUUCUUUUGAUCAGUUCUUUGCUUUUUAAAAAUCCCUAUCCAUCCUGUUAAAAAGAAAAUUAACUAUUAAGAGGUAUUAAAAGAUUCAAUUCUUAGAUGGACAGGGUUUAAAACCUUUUGUAAUAUAUUCAAAUGUAUAUUUUUGAGAGAGAUGCUGCAUUGCCAAUGCCUAGCUUCCUGUUAUAGCAUUUCCAAUUGCUUCAUACUUCACAGUUUUAAUGAAUACAAAGUAUAAGCUCUACUUUAUAACACAUCCUGUAGGUUUCUUUAAAACUGUUUUUAUAUUCCAGUUACAUUUCUCUAUCUGAAAACUCUUUUGUUACUGCUGCAGGUUACACCCUUCAUUCUUAGAGGCCAUUUUGUUUUGUUUGUUUUAUGCUAAAGCUGUUGUUGAAAUGCUCUAAAUUCCAAGGCAGAUUGUCUGUGUAAUACCCUACAGCUUUUACCAUGUGGUGUGUACCAGCCAGUACUCUGUAUUUGAAAAGUCGGAUUCCUUCUGUCAAAGCUGUUU